rnacentral:rRNA from 1 species
GACGAACGCUGGCGGCGUGCUUAACACAUGCAAGUCGAACGGAAAGGCCCUGCUUUUGUGGGGUGCUCGAGUGGCGAACGGGUGAGUAACACGUGAGUAACCUGCCCUUGGCUUUGGGAUAACUUCAGGAAACUGGGGCUAAUACCGGAUAGGAGCUCCUGCUGCAUGGUGGGGGUUGGAAAGUUUCGGCGGUUGGGGAUGGACUCGCGGCUUAUCAGCUUGUUGGUGGGGUAGUGGCUUACCAAGGCUUUGACGGGUAGCCGGCCUGAGAGGGUGACCGGCCACAUUGGGACUGAGAUACGGCCCAGACUCCUACGGGAGGCAGCAGUGGGGAAUAUUGCACAAUGGGCGGAAGCCGGAUGCAGAAACGCCGCGUGCGGGAUGACGGCCUUCGGGUUGUAAACCGCUUUCGCCUGAGACGAAGCGUGAGUGACGGUAAUGGGUAAAGAAGCACCGGCUAACUACGUG